UUAUUUGAGAGUUUGAUCCUGGCUCAGGAUGAACGCUGGCGGCGUGCCUAACACAUGCAAGUUGAGCGAUUUACUUCGGUAAAGAGCGGCGGACGGGUGAGUAACGCGUGGGUAACCUACCCUGUACACACGGAUAACAUACCGAAAGGUAUGCUAAUACGGGAUAAUAUAUUUGAGAGGCAUCUC
rnacentral:rRNA from 1 species